rnacentral:rRNA from 1 species
UACGUAGGGUGCAAGCGUUGUCCGGAAUUACUGGGCGUAAAGCGCGCGUAGGCGGCUUUGCAAGUCGGGUGUGAAAUCCCCAGGCUUAACCUGGGAACUGCAUUCGAGACUGCAUUGCUAGAGUAUGGGAGAGGGAAGUGGAAUUUUCGGUGUAGCGGUGAAAUGCGCAGAUAUCGGGAGGAACACCUAUGGCGAAGGCAGCUCGCUGGGACGUUACUGACGCUGAGGAGCGAAAGCGUGGGGAGCGAACAGG